AUCCAACUGAAGAAUGCCAAAUAAGACGAAAUGCAUGUUCUGGAU
rfam:Schistosoma curassoni strain Dakar, Senegal genome assembly, scaffold: SCTD_scaffold0000094